rnacentral:rRNA from 1 species
CCCUUAGAUGUUCUGGGCCGCACGCGCGCUACACUGACGAAUGCAACGAGCUUAUAACCUUGGCCGAAAGGUCUGGGUAAUCUCCAAAUUUCGUCGUGAUGGGGAUAGAUUAUUGCAAUUAUUAAUCUUCAACGAGGAAUGCCUAGUAAGCGCAAGUCAUCAGCUCGCGUUGAUUACGUCCCUGCCCUUUGUACACACCGCCCGUCGCUCCUACCGAUUGAAUGGUCCGGUGAAGCGUUCGGACCGUGGCCUUUGGACGGUUCGCCGUCUGUUGGCUGCGGGAAGUUCGUUAAACCUUAUCAUUUAGAGGAAGGGGAAGUCGUAACA